rnacentral:lncRNA from 1 species
GUCCCCCUGUGCUCCUGGGAUCGAUCUAGGUUAGUUCCAAAACUUUUUGUUAUUUUUCCAUCCUUUCUUCUUCGUAUUCUGUUUAUUUAACUUUCUCGAGGGCCUGUCUGCUAUUUUUCCCCAAUUUUGCGAGAUUUUUGUGGCUUCCGUUUGAUCCAAAAUAUCCUCUGAUAUCUCCUCUUCUAGCAGUUCUAGGAGUUCAUCAGCCUCGAUUCUCCAUAGUACUGGUACCGUAGACGAACCCGUAGCUAGGAUCAAACCUUGUCCGGCCUUUGCACCAGAUACCAUCCCUGGCUCCUUGACUCCGGAUGAGC